rnacentral:lncRNA from 13 species
GAUGGCUGCAAUAUAUAAUCUUCGGGAUUAAAGGCUCUAAUUACCUCGCAGGGAGCUGUGUCCAUGGGAGCACUCCCCACAGGGGUGGAGGACAGCCAGGACGCCUUGGCAGGGACAUCUCCUUCCUGGAUUGUGGUCUGGAUGCCCACACAGGGGCCAAGACCUAGAGAGAAGGCAGGAACCACAGGGUUUCAUAGGAAAACAGUGGAAAUCACCUGGAAAAGGCAACGCAGUUUCCCUUUGUAAUUUUUUUCACCGGGCUCCCUUGCUAGAAGGCCAUGGGGAUGUGGAGGUUGUAGCUUGGAGGCUGCAGCAUCCAAAAGACAAGGAAAGGUACAGCUCUGCUGGUUUUUGCUGUUUGCUCACCUGAGCUGUGAAAAAAGAGUGGAAGAAGAGUGGCCAGCAGGCCAGGAGAAGAAAUUCUGCCUCUCUGCCCCACUCAGGUGAGAGCCCACCUGCAGAGCUGCCUCCAGCCCUGGGGCCCAGCACAGGGAGGACAUGGAGCUGCUGGAGAGAGACCAAGAUUAAAAAAAAAAUCUAAAUGAUGAUGACCUAAAAAGCACCAUUGCUGGCUACCCAAAGGUGGAGGUUUACUUUGAGUUCAGUGCUCCAGGUGAACACACCCAAGGAGGAGAAAGGCAAUUCCAUCCAGAAAAAUCAGUGGAGGGCAAAAAUCCUUCACACUGAAAGGAAAACAUCACCCAUGGGGGUCUGUGGGUGAAACUCAGCUUGGCUGCCUGGGUGGACAGGGACAGCCAGAUCUGGGAUGCUCCUGGUAAGGAGAGGUCUCCCAGUGCCUCCUGGAAGCGCUGAUGUUUCUCUCUAAUUUUGGUGGUGAAUUUGCAACUGGCAACAAAAACGAGUUCUGGCCGCCUGGGUCUAGCACAGGCAUCAACCAGUCAGGGCUACUCAGAUAAAAGCUGUUUUGCAGGAAGCUGAAAAUGCCAGAAAUAGCAGUGUUUGGGGAAAUCUUUGUAUUUGCUUACAGAAUUUGUGGGUGUUUUCAAAGCCUCAAGGAGAUGCAUGUGGCCAUUUCUACCUUUGAGCCAAGCUUGCACCGCUCAGGAGAAGAAUCACCACAGGAAGACCUGGUUUGGUGUUGUGCUGGACACGUAUUUUGCUCUCUUCAUCUUAGCAGUUCAAUUUUGCCACCAGAUCUCGUUCUUGCUCUUUUUUUUUCCUCGGCAAGAAGCCUGCCCACAUCCUUCCCGAUUGCAUUAAAAAACCUCCUCCAGCUUGUAAAUAAACAUCGAG